rnacentral:misc_RNA from 1 species
GAUGAAGAACGUAGCGAAAUGCGAUACGUAAUGUGAAUUGCAGAUUUUAGUGAAUCAUCGAAUCUUUGAACGCACAUUGCGCCCGCCAGUAUUCUGGCGGGCAUGCCUGUUCGAGCGUCAUUUCAACCAUCAAGCCUUCGCUUGUGUUGGGGCCCCGCGGCUGCCGCGGCCCCUAAAUCCAGUGGCGGGCUCGUCGUCGUACCGAGCGCAGUAGACAUCCUCGCUCCGGGAACCCGACGGGUGCCGGCCGUGAAACCCCCCCCAUCAAGGUUGACCUCGGAUCAGGUAGGAAUACCCGCUGAACUUAAGCAUAUCAAUAAGCGGAGGA